UAAUUAAGCUGCUAACUUAAUUUUUAGUGAUUAAUUUCAUUAAUAUUUCU
rnacentral:tRNA from 1 species